rnacentral:rRNA from 1 species
CGACUCUCGGCAACGGAUAUCUCGGCUCUCGCAUCGAUGAAGAACGUAGCGAACUGCGAUACUUGGUGUGAAUUGCAGAAUCCCGUGAAYCAUCGAGUCUUUGAACGCAAGUUGCGCCCGAAACCGUUCGGUCGAGGGCACGUUUGCCUGGGUGUCACAC